rnacentral:rRNA from 1 species
CAAAGGCUUAGUCCUGACUUUAUUAUCAACUUUAGCUAUACUUACACAUGCAAGUAUCCGCACCCCUGUGAAAAUGCCCCACAGUUCCCUGUUUGGGAACAAGGAGCCGGUAUCAGGCACAACCUUAAAUUAGCCCAAGACGCCUUGCUCAGCCACACCCCCAAGGGAAUUCAGCAGUGAUAGACAUUAAGCCAUGAGUGAAAACUUGACUUAGUUAAAGCUAAGAGGGCCGGUAAAACUCGUGCCAGCCACCGCGGUUAUACGAGAGGCCCAAGCUGAUAAGAAUCGGCGUAAAGAGUGGUUAUGAACAAGCCCCAAACUAAAGCCAAAUGCCCCCAAAGCUGUUAUACGCACUCGGAGGCCAGAAACCCAACCACGAAAGUGGCUUUAUAUUGCGUGAACCCACGAAAGCUAUGAUACAAACUGGGAUUAGAUACCCCACUAUGCUUAGCCCUAAACAUUGAUAAUAUUCUACGACCAUUAUCCGCCCGGGAACUACGAGCACUAGCUUAAAACCCAAAGGACUUGGCGGUGCUUUAGAUCCACCUAGAGGAGCCUGUUCUAGAACCGAUAAUCCCCGUUAAACCUCAGCUCUCCUUGUUU